GAUGAACGCUGGCGGUAUGCUUAACACAUGCCAGUCGAACGGACUCUUCGGAGUUAGUGGCGGACGGGUGAGUAACGCGUGAGAAUCUGGCUUUGGGUUCGGGACAACCACUGGAAACGGUGGCUAAUACCGGAUGUGCCGAGAGGUAAAAGAGAAAUUGCCUGAAGAUGAGCUCGCGUCUGAUUAGCUAGUUGGUGAGGUAAAGGCUCACCAAGGCAGCGAUCAGUAGCUGGUCUGAGAGGAUGACCAGCCACACGGGGACUGAGACACGGCCCAGACUACUACGGGAGGCAGCAGUGGGGAAUUUUCCGCAAUGGGCGAGAGCGUGACGGAGCAAUACCGCGUGAGGGAAGAAGGCUCUUGGGUUGUAAACCUCUUUUCUUAGGGAAGAACAAAAUGACGUUACCUAAGGAAUCAGCAUCGGCUAACUCCGUG
rnacentral:rRNA from 1 species